rnacentral:rRNA from 1 species
GACGAACGCGGCGGCGUGCCUAAUACAUGCAAGUAGAACGCUGAAGGAGGAGCUUGCUUCUCCGGAUGAGUUGCGAACAGGUGAGUAACGCGUAGGUAACCUGCCUGGUAGCGGGGGAUAACUAUUGGAAACGAUAGCUAAUACCGCAUAAGAGUAGAUGUUGCAUGACAUUUGCUUAAAAGGUGCAAUUGCAUCACUACCAGAUGGACCUGCGUUGUAUUAGCUAGUUGGUGGGGUAACGGCUCACCAAGGCGACGAUACAUAGCCGACCUGAGAGGGUGAUCGGCCACACUGGGACUGAGACACGGCCCAGACUCCUACGGGAGGCAGCAGUAGGGAAUCUUCGGCAAUGGACGGAAGUCUGACCCGAGCAAACGCCGCGUGAGUGAAAGAAAGGUUUUUCGGAUCGUAAAAGCUUCUGGUGUAAAGAGAAG